CGUGGCGCAGAAGUUAGCGUGUCGGCCUAUGACGCCGAAAGCCUGGGUUCAAAUCCCGGCG
rfam:Stomoxys calcitrans breed 8C7A2A5H3J4 unplaced genomic scaffold Scaffold689, whole genome shotgun sequence.